GUGAGGAAUAUUGGUCAAUGGGCGCAAGCCUGAACCAGCCAUGCCGCGUGCAGGAAGACGGUCCUAUGGAUUGUAAACUGCUUUUAUUUGGGAAUAAACUCCGGUACGUGUACCGGCCUGAAGGUACCAAAUGAAUAAGCACCGGCUAACUCCGUGCCAGCAGCCGCGGUAAUACGGAGGGUGCAAGCGUUAUCCGGAAUCAUUGGGUUUAAAGGGUCCGCAGGCGGUCUUAUAAGUCAGUGGUGAAAGCCUACAGCUCAACUGUAGAACUGACAUUGAUACUGUAGGACUUGAAUUCGAUCGAAGUGGGCGGAAUGUGACAUGUAGCGGUGAAAUGCUUAGAUAUGUCACAGAACACCGAUAGCGAAGGCAGCUCACUAGGUCUGGAUUGACGCUCAGGGACGAAAGCGUGGGGAGCAAACAGGAUUAGAAACCCCUGUAGUCC
rnacentral:rRNA from 1 species